rnacentral:ncRNA from 12 species
AGGAUUUGAGGGCAGAACGGGCAUCUGCCGCCUAGAUGGAGAUGCAGGAGUGUCGCCCUGCCAAACCUU